GCCCCCGUAGCUCAGGGGAUAGAGCGUCGGUUUCCUAAACCGUGCGUCGCAGGUUCGAAUCCUGCCGGGGGCGCUA
rnacentral:tRNA from 1 species